GAUGGGAUUAGCUAGUAGGUGGGGUAACGGCUCACCUAGGCGACGAUCCCUAGCUGGUCUGAGAGGAUGACCAGCCACACUGGAACUGAGACACGGUCCAGACUCCUACGGGAGGCAGCAGUGGGGAAUAUUGCACAAUGGGCGCAAGCCUGAUGCAUCCAUGCCGCGUGUAUGAAGAAGGCCUUCGGGUUGUAAAGUACUUUCAGCGGGGAGGAAGGGAGUAAAGUUAAUACCUUUGCUCAUUGACGUUACCCGCAAAAGAAGCACCGGCUAACUCCGUGCCAGCAGCCGCGGUAAUACGGAGGGUGCAAGCGUUAAUCGGAAUUACUGGGCGUAAAGCGCACCCAGGCGGUUUGUUAAGUCAAAUGUGAAAUCCCCCCGGCUAAAAA
rnacentral:rRNA from 1 species